GUUUCUCAGUGAAGGCUACAGAUUAAACCUCUGGCCUCUGGAGCCAGAUGCAUUGAAAC
rfam:O.niloticus mRNA for type I iodothyronine deiodinase